AGGUGAAACUGCGGAAGGAUCAUUAACACAUGGACAUACGUCCAAAAUCCGGUUUAAUCUUGUAUGUAAGCAUCAUCAGUAGCAGUUUAACUGCUCUGGUGAUCAACAAAUUAAUUCUAAUUUGUUUGUUUACAUUCACUGUGCCUUAAUAAAAAAUCAAGAAAAUUUUCAACGAUGGAUAUCUUGGUUCCCAUACCGAUGAAGAACGCAGCGAAAUGCGAUACGCAAUGCGAAUUGCAGAAUCCCGCGAGUCAUCAGAUCUUUGAACGCAAGUGGCGCCAGUUUACUGGCAUGUCUGUUUCAGUGUACUAGGAGAGUAAUCAAUCAUCAAUGAUUAGAAUGCGAUUGAGAGGGUCUAGUGCCUUUUCUCUCGUUGAAUAAGAAAGUGUGAGUAUGAAUGGCUUAACACUAGUCAAAACGAAGUAGUCACGCUAGUUCGUGAUCUCGUUUAACUAGUAGGGUUAUUCAAACAACGAUCACGCUUACUAACAAUCAAUCUCCACAUUAAUUGGUAUCUGAAAUAGGCAAGACUACCCGCUGAACUUAA
rnacentral:rRNA from 1 species